AGUGAACGCUGGCGGUAGGCCUAACACAUGCAAGUCGAACGGCAGCACAGGAGAGCUUGCUCUCUGGGUGGCGAGUGGCGGACGGGUGAGGAAUACAUCGGAAUCUACCUUUUCGUGGGGGAUAACGUAGGGAAACUUACGCUAAUACCGCAUACGACCUACGGGUGAAAGUGGGGGACCGCAAGGCCUCACGCGAUUAGAUGAGCCGAUGUCCGAUUAGCUAGUUGGCGGGGUAAUGGCCCACCAAGGCGACGAUCGGUAGCUGGUCUGAGAGGAGGAUCAGCCACACUGGAACUGAGACACGGUCCAGACUCCUACGGGAGGCAGCAGUGGGGAAUAUUGGACAAUGGGCGCAAGCCUGAUCCAGCCAUACCGCGUGGGUGAAGAAGGCCUUCGGGUUGUAAAGCCCUUUUGUUGGGAAAGAAAUCCUGUCGAUUAAUACUCGGUGGGGAUGACGGUACCCAAAGAAUAAGCACCGGCUAACUUCGUGCCAGCCGCCGCAGUAAUAC
rnacentral:rRNA from 1 species